UACGGAGGGUGCGAGCGUUAAUCGGAAUUACUGGGCGUAAAGCGCACGCAGGCGGUUUGUUAAGCAAGAUGUGAAAGCCCCGGGCUCAACCUGGGAACUGCAUUUUGAACUGGCAGACUAGAGUCUUGGAGAGGGGGUGGAAUUCCAGGUGUAGCGGUGAAAUGCGUAGAGAUCUGAAGGAAUACCGAUGGCGAAGGCAGCCACCUGGGUCAACACUGACGCUCAUGUACGAAAGCGUGGGGAGCAAAACAGGAUUGAGAUACCCGCGUAGUCC
rnacentral:rRNA from 1 species